GAGAUCACGUCACUGCACUUCAGCCUGGGCGACAGAGCGAGACUCCCUCUCAAACAAACAAACAAAAAAGAAUAAUGAUAACAGCAAUAACAGUGGCCAGCAUUUACUAGGCACUAAGUGUACUUGGCAUUAUUUUAAAAAAAACUAGUUUGAAUAUUUAAAAAAUGACAAAUGGAUGCUACAAAAUAUUUGCUGUCGAAAAUACCCUCUCAGUUAAAAGAUUAGGAAAUUCAAGUAAAUUCCACAAGCUCACUAACUUGUCGUAUUUGAUUAACUUAGGAAAUGUGGAAGCAGUAAAAUAGAUAUUCAUAAUCUGAUUCCCCAAUUGACUUUAAAGCAAUUAAAAAAAGAAUAGCACAUUCAAAUUAAUAGUAUGAUAAAUAAGGAAACACAUUUCUUUCUGUGUAUCAGGUGUAAAUAACAAUUUAUGUAGAACUAUAUUCCAAUUCAGCUGUAAGUGGUAAAUGUUUUUAAUAAGCAUGAGAAGGAAAACACUCAGGUCAUUCAGAAUGCUUUAAAUACUCAAUAUUCCCUAUCUGUAGCUCGCAUGUGAUCCUCAAUAUUAAUUAAGGAAUUCUAAAUUCAAUAUUCAUCUUAAAGAGAAAAAUCUCAUUUUUUUUCUGUGGUAUCACCCUUUAUCUAACUUCCUUGAACUUGCAGAUGAUCUCAUUUAAAAGUUGACAAAUUAGACAGGCACAGUGGUGUGUGCCUAUAGUCCCAGCUACUAGGGAGGCUGAGAAAGGAGGAUCAGUUGAGCCCGGGAAUUCUAGGCCAGCCUGGGCAACAUUGCAAGACUUCAUCUCUAAAAUAAAUAAAUAAAUAAAUAAAAGCUUUAAAAAAUAAAUAAUAACUGAUAAAUUACCUAUGAACUACAUGACCACAAUCUCUGGAUUCAACAACAAGACCACUAAGAAAAUAUCAUCAUUUUAUACAAUAUUAAAAAUUUUUCAAACAUGUCUUUGUCCUUCUGCUACCAUAAAGAAAUAAUCCCUUAAAUACUCUUACAUUCCCUUUCAUCACCUCUCCUGUCUCUGUCAGACAAAAAAUGGAUCUAAGGGAACAUUUUUUUGGAUGCCUCCUUUUUUCCUGAGACAGGGUCUCACUCUGUCACCCAGACUGGAGUGCAGUGGUGCGAUCUUAGCUCACUGCAGUUUUGAUGAUCCUCCUGCCUUAGCCUCUCUAGUAGGUGGGACUACAGGUGCUCACAACCAUGUCUGGCUGUUUUUAAUUUUAAUUUUAAUUUUUUUGUAGAGAUGGGGUCACGCUAUGUUGCCCAGGCUGGUCUCAAACUCCUGGCUUCAAAGAAUUGUCCAGACUUGGCCUUCCAGUGUUGGGAUUAUAGGCAUGAGCAACCACACCUGGCCAGAUGCCCAUUUUUUUUUUCUGAGAUGGGUGUCACUCUGUCACCUAGGAUGGAGUGCAGUGGCACAGUCUCAGGUCACUGCAAGCUCCAUCUCCCAGGCUCAAGCAAUCCUCCCACCUUAGCCUCCCAAGUAGCUGGAACUACAGGUACGCCACUAUGCCUGGCCAAUUUUUUGUAUUUUUAGUAGAGACUAGGUUUCACCAUGUUGCCCAGGUUGGUCUAGAACUCCUGAGCUCAGGCAAUCCACCCUCCUUGGCCUCCCAAAGUGCUGGGGUUACAGGUGUGAGCCACCAUGCCCAGCCAGAUGCCCAAUUUUUAAUUGCUUUUGUUUGCUUGCCUAAAUUGUCUGAAUAAUUAUUUCAAAGUCCCCUAUCAUUUUGUCCAGCAAGUUUAAAGUUUUAGCAUCUACAUCUUGGUGCUGCCCAAGUUCUUGGUUUGCAUCUCUAUUCUGCCAAUGACCUGGAAUUAUGUGAGAAGAAAAAGGGUAUCUGAGAAAGUACCUGCCUCCUGGCACUAAAUAAAUGCUUCAACAUGUUAGUUUUUUCCUUUAUUCACAGCACUAGAGCACAUGAAGCCAGCCUAUGGUAGGCAGUAGGGUGUGGGUCAGCCUCCUUGGGAUGCUAUUGAGAGAACCCUUCAAUUUCUUCACUCUUUGUCAAGUUGCCUGAUGAUUUCAUCAUUAGAGAUGUAUUCUGAGGGCUUUAAGAGCUGCCUAUCAAAAAAGAAACUAUUGGCCGGGCAUGGUGGCUCAUGCAUGUAAUCCCAGCACUUUGGGAGGCUGAGGAGGGCAGAUCACCUGAGGUCAGGAGUUCGAGACCAGCCUGGCCAACAUGGUGAAACACCAUCUGUACAAAAAAAUACAAAAAAAUCAGCCAGGCAUGGUGGUGCUUGCCUGUAAUCCUAGCUAUUGGGGAGGCUGAGGUAGGAGAAUCACUUGAACUCAGGAGGUGGAGGUUGCAGUGAGCUGAGAUUGUGCCACUGCACUCCAGCCUGGGUGACAGUGUGAGACUUCAUCUCAAAAAAUAAAUAAAUGAAUAAAUAAAUAAAAGAAAAUAUCUUGGAAGGCAAAAUAACCUAGCUGUCGGCUGAAAACAACUACAGCUGUGUAGGUGGCUUGUGGAGUGAGUGUGAGACCUUAGGGGCCUGGGACCUGAAAUCAGCACCAGCAAAGCAACCUCAGGAGGUGGAUGAGCACAGAUGAUAAACUCUCCUGAUGUGGGAAAAACAAGUGGCCAGUGGUCAGAAAACCCAAGGGUCUUGUUUUUCCCAGUGGUCUGCCCUGCCCCUGGAGAGUCUCUUCAUGAAUUCCCCUGGAGAAAGGCACCUGUCCCCAGAAUUUGGUGAGGCAUCAGCCAGUCUUCUUCAAAACACACUGGCCCAUCUGUCAUGAUCAACUAGAGACGGACUAGGAAGAAAACACCAAUAGGGCCUUCACGAGCUAUGGUGGGAAGCACCUCCAGCAGUUUUGAGCUUCAAACCUCCACAACUGGGAGGAAACUUUAGAUCUGUGAAGUGUGAUGGAACUCUAGGGAGGAACCAUGCAGACCUGAAUAGGUUUGGCCACAUUCAUUUAUUAAUUCUUUUAAUAAAUAUUUAUUAAACAUUUAUGAUAUGAUAGGUGUUGUAUGGGAUCUAAAAAUUCAAAGGUGAGCAAAACAUAUCCUCUUGAAGUUUACAGAACACCAGGGGCAGGUUGCGGGAGACAUUAAGUAGGCAAUCACAUGAUUUAGGACUUACAAAUUGUGACAAGUACUAGGAAGAAACAGUAGAGAGUGCUCUGUGCGUAUAAAAGGGGGAGUCUGAUUUAUUAAAGUCUGAUCUGAGAUCAGUUUAGUGGCUUGUGACCAGCGUUUUUUAAAUGCAAUAGAACAGAAUAGAAAAUGUUGAAUGAAUUGGAAAUGGAAAUGAAGUUGGAUAUGGUUUCGUUUCAGUAUAUAUGUGUGUGCGUGUGUGUGUGUGUGUGGUGGGGGGAAUACUAGAUUGUAAAGUGUAUUUUCAUGGAACAUGGAGGAAAACUUUGAGAGCUAAAAUUUUUUUUUUUUUUUUUUUUUUCAGACGGAGUCUGGCUCUGUCACCCAGGCUGGAGUGCAGUGGCGCGAUCUCUGCUCACUGCAAGCUCCACCUCCCGGGUUCACGCCAUUCUCCUGCCUCAGCCUCCAGAGUAGCUGGGACUACAAGCGGUCGCCGCCACGCCCGGCUAAAUUUUUUUUUGUAUUUUUAGUAGAGACGGGGUUUCACCAUGUUAGCCAGGAUGGUCUCGAUCUCCUGACCUCGUGAUCUGCCCGCCUCGGCCUCCCAAAGUGCUGGGAUUACAGGCAUGAGCCACCGCGCCCGGCGAGAGCUGACAUUAAAAUCAUGUCAAUAAGAUGAGGAGUAGUAGGCACCAUGGAUUGUCUUUGAGGAUGCCGAUGAUGGAGUUGUGAAGAAAAAGGGGGAUUGUGGGUCAAAGAGUCCCUUUCAUUGACACACUCUGAGAAACACAUUUGGGUAUCAGAGUCCUCUAGAUUCAGACAGUGAGAUACAUGGAAUAACACUUUAUCUGGAACCACUUGAGGCUGCAGGGGAAAGGUAGGGAAGAAGGGAAAACAUAGGUUGGCAGUUGGGACCGCUGCAGUGGUCCAAAUUGGAGCCCCCUGGAAAUCCUGAGAUGAAACAGAACAUGGGUCAGUCAGUAAAUAUUGGACUGUCACGGAACUAAUCUGAUCUUUCUUCUUCCCUUGAUCUCAGCAAAGAGGCCAAGAAACAAUUGAUCUUUCCACUUUGCAUCUGAAAUUCAUUUCACUGGUAGCAGAGGAGAGACAGAACCCAAGUCUGAUCAGCAGCGCACUGUCCCUUUCACCACACCAUGAUGUCUUCCCAGAUCAGGAAAACAACAGUGACCCGUGUUCUGUUUGCAGUGCGAUUCACAAUGUCAGUAGCACUCAGGGUCAGAAACAUGCACUGGUUUUAAGGGGCUAGACGCGAAUUGAAAUGUAUUUGUUAUACACGUAAAGAAACAUAUAAAGGUCACCUCCCGGCAAUCCAAAUAUUCUCUCCUGGAUCUCAGAAUCAAGUUUCAUGCUUUAUACCACUGAGUUGAUUAAGCCCCUGAAGGCUGGGCAGUGUUUUUAAUGGAUUGUUUCUAGUUUUGAUAAAGUGAUGGGGGAAAAUAAGCUUAGAAUCUUUAGUUUGAAAAGGAAUCUUUGUCCACAGCUAAUUUCAGAGAAAAAUCAAGUCAGUGUUGGCCUGCUCUAAUGAAAAGAUAGAAAAAACUCUUAAAAUCAUAUUCCAAGUUCCGAUGAAGAGAUACUACCACAGGAUUUUCUGAUGCUGUAAGGCUACCUCUGGUACUGUUUAGAGUGGACAGCGUCCAACUUUCUUGAAAGUAAAUCCUCUGUCUCAUCUGAGGUGAAACUAAACAUAUUAUGGCAUAUGGAAAAAAAAAAAAAACAAGCUCAACAGAUUCCGUGGAAGGCCAGGAUGAAACCAUGUUCCAGCAACAAGUAAGUUUUGACUCGUUGGUGGCAAUGAUUGGCAAAGGCAAGAAGCAAGUGGUUAAAAACAUGGGUUUGGUCUCAGCUAGACUUGAGUUUCUGUGGCAGCAUUGCCCCUCACAUACUGCAUAACCGUACUCAGUUUCAGUUUCCAUAUCUGCAUCCUUGGGAGAAUAAGAACACUCUUAACUUUUUGGGCUAUUACAAGACUUAUACAAGGUAAUGCAUAUGAGGGAUACAGCAGGUGCUCAAUAAAUGCAAGAAUUAAUUUUAAAAAAUAAUUAUUAAUAAUCAUAUUGUCUCUAGCUUUUUCCUUUAACAUAACAAGACAUGUAUCACUGGUUUUUCCAUUUCUCCUAGUUUACAUUUGUCCUCUCCUAUCAAUGAGGACAAAUUAAAAUAUAAGCAUUCCACAGUAGACCUUUCCACUUCUCUGUAAAACAGAGUCUUGAAAAAAGUCACAGUCAAGUGUUUAUCAUUUUUGAUUGGCUUGGGUUGGAGCACAGCAGUCAUUUUUUGGGGGGUGGUGAGGUGGGGAGUGGACCCACUAGGCAGAUAAUUUUUACAAGGACAAAGUGAAGUUAGCCCUGAAAUGAACUUUACGAACCAUAUAACAUAACUUCAUCUUCAGGAAACUGAGGCCCAGAGAGAUGAAAUGUAUGAUUCGUCUAAGGCCCUGCAGAUCGCAUGUACCAACACAAGAUAGCUAUGUUUGAGAAAUGGCAAAAGAAGACCUGAAUUAUCAGAACUAUGUGCUGUGAAGGCUUAAGCUGCUCUUCUUUGUGGAGAAACAGUUGAUACCUAAUUUUGCCUGAAACAAAACAAACAUUUUAAAAAAUGUUUACCUAUCCCAUGCCAGGUGCUGUGGCUCACCUCUGUAAUCCUAGCUACUCAGGAGGCUGAAGUGGGAGGAUUACUCCAUCUUUAACAAAAUAAAAAAUUUGAAAAAAAUUUACCUAUUCCUUCCUUUAAUAUGGAAUAUAGAAUUUGCUAAUUAGAACUACCAUAUGAUCUAGCAAUCCCACUCCUGGGAAUUUAUCCAAAGGAAAAGAUUAUUAUAUUGAAGAGACAUCUGCGCCCCCAUGUUUCCUGCAGCAUUUUCACAAUAGCCAAGAUAUGGAAUCAACUUACGUGUCUGACAAUAAAUGAAUGGAUAAAGAAAAUGUGGGAUAGAUACACACUGGAAUGGUAUCCAUUAAAAAAUGAAAUCCUGUUAUUUGCAGCAAUAUGGAUGGAAAUGGAGGACAUUACACCAAGUGAAAUAAGCCAGGAACAGAAAGUUAAACACUUCACAUUCUCACUCACAUGCAGAAGCUAAAAAACUUCGAUCUCAUAGAAGUAAAAAGUAGAACAGAGUUUACUGGAGGCCAGGAAGGGUAGGGGGAAGGGAAAGAUGGGAGAGAUUUGUUAAGGGAUACGAAAUUACAGCUACAUAGGAGGAAUACGUUCUAGUGCUCUAUACUACUGUGGGAUGAGGUAGUUAACAAUAAUGUAUUGUGUCGUUUCAAAUACUUAAAGGGAGGAUAUUGAACAUGCCCAAUACAAAGAAAUGAUUAGAGUUUGAGAUGAUGGAUAUGCUAAUUGUCCUGAUCUGAUCACUAUAAUUAUAUGUACCAAAACAUCACUAUGUACCACCAUGAAUAUGUACAAUUAUUAUGUGACAAUUUAAAAAAUAAAAUCAAAAAACAAUUUGCUAGUUUUGUAAUAUCAAGGGAGUAUUUAAUGAUUUAUACAAAUCAUUUUCCCUUUUCUAAAAGAUAAGAGGAAAAAGAAACAAUAAUCAUUUUCCCUUUUCUAAAAGAUAAGAGGAAAAAGAAACAAUAUUUUUUAAACAUGUGUAUGGUAAUUUCCACAUAGUCUCACUCAGUUCUCAUAACAGCCCUAUGGAAUAGAAUAUUUUUUUAUUUAAGAGAUAAGGAAAUGAGACAUUAUCUGACAUGAUAUAUUAGUUUACGCACUUACAGAUGAUCUGUUUCCAUCAUUGGAAUGUAAGUUUCAUGAGGGAAGCAGGGUCUUUCCAAAUCCCCAGAGUCUAACACAGUGCCUGGCACAAGUAAGUGCUCAAGAAAUAUCUGUCAUAUGAAUGGAUGAAUUAAUUAAUUCAAUAAUAAGGGAAUAUAAUAGAGAAUUAAAUAUCAGACUUAAAUAUAAGUAACAUGUAGCUCUGGCAAUAAAAAGAAAUUGUCCAUAAUACAUUAAUAGCUCUUCUAGGUGACCUUAUACUUAUAUUCUAUAUAACCUUACUUUCUUCAGGAAAAUAUACAUUUAAUUGCCUACAGAGGGCUAGUUUACCUGUUGGGUAUAGCUGGAAAUAUUGGUAGUGCAUAUGAAGAUGGCCUCAAAUAGGACCAAGAUUACUCAGAAAAACAUUCAUUAAAAAAAAAAACUGUGGCCACAGGGAACUUAAGGAAUUAAUAGUAUUUGUCCAAACCAAACACAUCUUUAAGUUUGCUGACUCAAUCAUAAUAAUGGGUUUAGUUCCAUCUUAUGAGGUUGAUUUGUUUCUGAUAACCUGUAUAAAAGAUUGACCUUGCCAGUUUGUACUUAUUUGAAUACAAACUACUUUUCAAUAACUUUCCCCAAGACUUGAGGUAAAGUUCAGGGAUGUUAUAAGUAAAAAUAUCUUUAACCUUUUAAAGGCAGAUGCCACACAAAACCUUGCAAAGGAAAACAAGGGAGCCACACAUAUCAAUGGAGACCUUUAAGUCUGUGGUUCUAUUUCUAGCAUUUAUCGUGAAGAAUCAUUAAAGAGGUAAGCAAAGAUGAAUGCAUAAAUUUAUUCAGUGGUGUACUGUUUCUAAUGUGAAUAACUGGAAAUCAAUGUAGCUCAAUACAGACUGAGUUAAAUUACGCUGUAUCCUUACAAUGGAAUGUUAUGCAUUCAUUAGAAAUGUAAUGCAACAAUAUUUAAUGACAUGAAAAGUUGUUCAUGAUAUUUUUUAAAUAAAAAAGCAGGUUAUGAUACAAUAUAUAAGCAUACUUCCAGUUUUGUAGAAGUAUGUAUGUAUGUGUGUAUCUGAAAAAAUAUCAAUCAAGCUGUUAAAAUGAUUAAUAAGUCAAAGAAUUAGAGAUAAUUUUGAUUUUUAAAGUAUUUGCUUACCUGCACUUCUGACUUUUCUAUAAUUUAUAUAUACAGCUUUUGUAAUAAGAAGCUAUUCUUCAUUUUUGAAAAGAAUAGGAAACUUGUUUGCAGGUCUCUAAUCCCUGACUACAGUUGCUAUUCUUCAGGAUCAAUUGCUUCUUCUCCUUCAUGGUUCUGCUCUUUCAAUAUUUCCUUUCUUUCCCAUCUCUCAUACAAGUAUACCUGGUGAUCAUAUUGCAUACAUUACUUAAGUGGCUCUAUCAAAUCACCUUUGUAGUCUCUUAUAACUCUCAGGAUUUUCCAUAGAAGUUAUUUUUGGAAAAGGCAAUCAUAUGUAUCUACCAUAUCUUUCAGUACCCAGAAAAUGUGAGCUCCAGGGGAAAUUUAAAGUCCAACUUUCCUUUUAGCCUUUAAAUCUCUUUCAAGUUUAGCAUUAAGUGUGUGCAGUGUGUGCAUGCACGUGUGUGUGCGGCCAUGCGUGUGUGUAUGUGUUUCAGAGGGAUAAAUUUUGUGAACUCUAAAUACAGCAGGUUAUCAAAUAACAUUGUUUCAUUCAAAGUCAUUUAGUUAUAACAUUGAUGAGAAAAUAAAUCAAUUCCUGGCUGGAGCCACCGUCUGUGUGGAGUGUGCAUGUUCCCCCAUGUGGGCUUUCUCAGGGUACUCCGGUUUCCUUGACAUCCCAAACAUGCACAGAGUAGGUGAAUCGGUGUGUCUAAAUGGUCCCAGUGAGAGUGUGUGUGAGUGCAAGCUGUGAUAGGAUGGCGUCCUGGCCAGGGUGGGUUCCAAACUUGGCCCUGGACGGCUGGGAUAGACUCUGGCCAUCCACGACCCCGAACUGGAAUAACUCAGUAAAUAAUUAUUGUACUUGUUUGCAUUAAUUUUUCUUAUAUGAAAGUAUAGCUCACAUUUAUUUCAAUGUUUAAUAUUAGGAGUCUUUUGGUCUUUAUUUAGAAGUUUGGUGAUAUUUUGUAACUGGAAAUAUGCCAUCACAUAUGUACUGGAACUUAACUCUUGUUUAUAUCCAUUAGCCUAUGGCAAAAUUGGUUUUCCUUUAUGUUGUUUUACAUAAAGACACUGUUUCCAAGAACUUACUGACAACAUUAAGUGAGGACUUACCAUAUAACCUCUGUGCUUGUAAAUGAGCUGAAAUCCUACUUUACAUUAUUAUGGUGCCUGUUGUUUUAACAUUUCUCCAUCUCCUAUUUCCAGUUUAUUUUACUUUGUCCAUGUUAACUUUUUAUUUUCUUUUUUGAGUAUCUACCAAGUGUGGAACCCUGUGCCAGUUGUAUUACAUGCUACCUCAGAAACGUGGUACUUAUUCCCAUUUUACAGAUGUUUCAUUAAUAUGUCUUUAGCACUCUUUGAUUUGUGUAGCAUUUUCACGCUUUUUAUUUCAUUUGGUCCUAUGAUGUUGAACCACAUCUCGCUGGGAAUCAGUGGAGCUGGGAUGGAAUCAAACUUGUAUCCCCAAACUCAGACUCAAAGGUCUGCCCUGCUUUCUGUUAGUAGCAAUGGCUCUGUGCAUUGUUAUUAUUAAAACAACUGCCAACAUGAAUAAGGCAGUCUGAUUGUACAGAUUAUUCAAUGAUUAGAAGGUGAAUAAAACAAGAGGAGUCAACAAAUGCAAAGAAAAAUAGUCACAAAAAGUAACGUGACUCAUCUUCUCCUAUAAAUCCUCCUCUACAGAGGAGGGGCCGGACUAUAACUCAGCUAUUCCACAAGUGGGAGUGAAUAAUUUAGAAUGUCAUCUGCCAGACCAGGAACAUCUUGUUUUUUUCUCAAAUAAAAUAUGAAUUCUAAAUUAAUCACUUUGUUUAAAUAUAUGCUGUUUAAAUAUAAGCUGUUUAAAAAUAUCUCAAUAUUGUGGUUUUUCCUAAAAUAUUUUAAAAUUGGUUGUUCUCAGAAAAAAAAACUGGCUGAACAACCCGGCUGCUUAUCAAUGUGUGGGAUUUCUAGGAAGUCUUUAGUUGCACUUGCCACUUCCUGUGGCCUUGCCUGCAAUUAGAUUUUAUUUUAUUAUUAUUUUUUCUGAGACAGGGUCUUGCUCUGUCACCCAGACUGGAGUGCAGUGGUACAAUCACAGCUCACUGAAGCCUCAACCUCCCAGGCUCAAUUGAUCCUUCCAUCUUGGCCUCCUGAGUAACUGGGACUACAGGCGCAUGCCACCAUGCCUGGCUAAUUUUUGUAUUUUUUGUAGAGACUAGGUUUCACCACUUUGCCCAGGCUGGUCUUGAACUCCUGAGCUGAAGUGAUCCACCUGCCUCAGCCUCCCAAAGUGCUGGGAUUACAGGCGUAAGCCACAGCACCCAGCCCUUGCAAUUGCAAUUAGAUUUUAAAUGGCCUUGUUUCCUACCAUCUUUCUGCCUGGCUGAUAGGACAAUGGCACCUUGUAUUCUUCUUGUCUCCUCCUAGGAUCUCAGGUGCUUCAGCUGUACUUGUUUGGCUUUUGCUUUCCUUGCAGCUCCCACAUCCAAAUCCUUGUGACUAAAACAACACAGUUUUUAUCUAUCAGACAACAGCAAACCACAGUAGGUCUACAUUGUUUAUGGAACAUUUUGGUAAUGGCUUUUUCUUUGUGACUGGGCUUUUGUGGCACAGAAGGCUAGCUGUCCCCCCAAAGACUUGUGCUCCCUUUUCAUAGUGAAGUGUUCCUGCUGGAAGUGCCGCCAGGCAAGAACUAUAAUAUAUUCCCCCAGCCCUCCUUGCAGAUUGAUGAAUCUUGUAAGCAGUCCUCCCCAGGGAAGUGUGAGUAGAAGCUAUGUGUCCCAGUGUUGAGUGGAGGUAUUUAAGAAUUGGGUGCACAAUCUUUCAUUCUCUCUUCUUCCUAGUCACUGGCUGAAUGAUGCCAACAUAAUCUGAAAGUCACAAGAUGGUAGAGCUGUAAGAUGGAAGCAGCCUGGGUCCCUGAGUCACUGCUUGGAGGAGAACCACUCGAUCUGCAUCAGACUGUGAUAUAAACAUGAAACAAGUUUUUGUUGGUUUCGUUCACUGAGAUUUUGAGAUUGUUUGUUCUCACAGCUAGCUUACCUUGAUUAAUACUGGACCUAGAAGCCUCAAUAUUCCUCUUCUUUAAGCCAGGCUCCUGGAAUUAGAUGAUUUGGACCUACUACAGGUACUAGUGGGAUAGAGGUGCUAUGAUGCCAUAGUGGAAGUUCUGUUACUAAUCUACAUCCACAGCAAUUGUUGGAGGCUGUGUAGAAACUACUAGUGGCCUAUCAAUAUGCACUAGCCCCUUCAUUCUAACUCAACCCUAGUUUUGUUGGGGGUGACAAUGUGCUGGGCUAAUGAAAACUACAUUUGCCAAUCUCCCUUGUAGACAAAGCUAACGCAGCUCUGAAUAAUGAAAUACAUAAACAAAUGUAAUUCUGUGAGCUUCUAGAAGAGCUUCCUAAUGGGAGCAAAGUUAGCUGGCAUGUCUUUUUUACCUCCUUUCUUCUUCCUGUCUCCAAUACUGAUUCACUGUACAGAGUUUUAGGAGUCAUCCUGUGACCAUAAGGAUGAAAGCCACACACUAAGGUUGGUGGGACACAAAGACACAAAGAACCAGAGUCUCCAGUGGUACCUUGGGGGCCAUGACACCAAGCCUGCAGGGCCAACCACUGGCAUUCUUGUUAUGUAAGAAAAAAAUAAAUAAGGGGAGGAGCCAAGAUGGCCGAAUAGGAACAGCUCCAGUCUACAGCUCCCAGCGUGAGCGACACAGAAUACGGGUGAUUUCUGCAUUUCCAACUGAGGUACCGGGUUCAUCUCACUGGGGAGUGCCAGACAGUAGGUACAGGACAGUGGGUGCAGCGCAACAUGCGUGAGCCGAAGCAGGGCAAGGCAUCACCUCACCCGGGAAGUGCAAGGGGUCAGGGAAUUCCCUUUCCUAGUCAAAGAAAGGGUGACAGACGGCACCCGGAAAAUCGGGUCACUCCCACCCUAAUACUGCGCUUUUCCAACGGGCUUAAAAAACGGCACACCAGGAGAUUAUAUCCCACACAUGGCUCAGAGGGUCCUAUGCCCAUGGACUCUCGCUCAUUGCUGGCACAGCAGUCUGAGAUCAAACUGCAAGGCGGCAGCGAGGCUUGGGGAGGGGUGCCCACCAUUGCCGAGUUAGUUGUUUGAUUAGGUAAACAAAGCGGCCGGGAAGCUCGAACUGGGUGGAGCCCACCACAGCUCAAGGAGGCCUGCCUGCCUCUGUAGGCUCCACUUCUGGGGGCAGGGCACAGACAAACAAAAAGACAGCAGUUACCUCUGCAGACUUAAAUGUCCCUCUCUGACAGCUUUGAAGAGAGGAGUGGUUCUCCCAGCACACAGCUUCAGAUCUGAGAACGGGCAGACUGCCUCCUCAAGUGGGUCCCUGACCCCCGAGUAGCCCAACUGGGAGGCACCCCCCAGUAGGGGCAGACUGACACCUCACACAGCCAGGUACUCCUCUGACACAAAACUUCCAGAGGAACAAUCAGGCAGCAGCAUUUGCGGUUCACCAAUAUCCACUGCUCUGUAGCCACCGCUGCUGAUACCCAGGCAAACAGCGUCUGGAGUGGACCUCUAGCAAACUCCAACAGACCUGCAGCUGAGG
rnacentral:lncRNA from 10 species